GAUGAACGCUGGCGGCGUGCCUAACACAUGCAAGUCGAGCGGAAAGAUGCUGCUUUUGCUCCUUUCUCGUUAGCGGCGGGCGGGUGUGUCACACGUGUAUACCCUACUUAUCUGUCUGGGAUAACUACGGGAAUGCGGAGCUAAUCCCGGAUAAUAUCUUGAACCGCAGGGUUCAUUGGUGAAUGUCGGUUUUGCUGUCUCUUAUCGCUGGUUCCCGGCUGUAUUGGGUAGUUGGUAGGGAAACGGCGUACCAAGGCUACGAUGCGUAGCCGAAGUGAGAGGGUGAUCGGCCACACGGGAACGGAAACACGGUCCAGACGCCUACGGGAGGGAGCAGUAUGGAAGAGGCGGCAAUGGGCGAAAGCCUGACGGAGCAACGCCGCGUGAGUGAUAAAGGUCUUCGGAGCGUAAAGCUCUGUUAUUGGGUAAGAACAAAUGUGGAAGGAACUAUAGCCGGCUUGACGGUACCUAAUCAAAAAGCCACGGCUAACUACGUG
rnacentral:rRNA from 1 species